rnacentral:rRNA from 1 species
GGUGGCGUCAAUGUUAGCCUCCCAUCCGACCCGUCUUGUAACACGGACCAAGGAGUUCAGUAGGCACGCGAGUCGUUGACGUUUUCCAUUGAACAGUCGAAGGCGAAAUGAAAGUGUUCAUGAAAAUGAACAGUACUUUUUUAUGGAGUGCUGUUCGCUUUCAACAUGAUCGUCCUUGUUUGUGCUUAAUUGUGCAAAAUUGAUGUAUGGGGACGCGCAGUGUGGUGCCGUUGAAUAGUCGCACUGUUCUUUCUUUCUCUUCGGGGUUGGAGGAACAAUUGUCGAUCAGUCGGUUUCGGAGCGUGCACACUGGUACCCGAAAGAUGGUGAACUAUGCUUGAGCAGAAUGAAGCCAGAGGAAACUCUGGUGGAAGUUCGUAGCGGUGUUGACGUGCAAAUCACUCGUCUGACUUGAGUGUAGGGGCGAAAGACUAAUCGAACCAUCUAGUUGCUGGUUCCUUCCGAAGUUUCCCUCAGGAUAGCUGGCAUUUGUUUGUAACAAUUUUAUCCGGUAGAGCGAAUGAUUAGAGGUGUUGGGAACGCAAUGUUCUCAGCCUAUUCUCAAACUUCGAAUGGGUAAGCAAGGCGUUUUGCUUUGAUUUUACGAUGAAAUCGCCCAAUUAGAAUGUAUAAGCAGAACUGGCGAUGUGGAAUGAACCAAAAGUCAGGUUAAGGUGCCAGACAUUGGCGCUCAUGAAAUACCAGAAAAGGUGUUGGUCGAUAUAGACAGCAGGACGGUGGCCAUGGAAGUUGGAAUCCGCCAAGGAGUGUGUAACAACUCACCUGCCGAAUCGACUAGCCCUGAAAAUGGAUAGCGUUUGAGCGCCAGGCCCAUACCUGACCGUCUCAAUUACGCACUUUUUUUUCGGAAAAGGUGUAAUGAACGUUGAGACGGGUAGGAAGGUCGCGACAGUGUUGCUUUGAAGAGUUUUGAGCGUGAGCUCGCUCGGAGCCGCUGUUGGUGCAGAUCUUGGUGGUAGUAGCAAAUAUUCAAGUGAGAACCUUGAAGGCUGAAGUGGAGCAAGGUUCCAUGUGAACAGCAGUUGGACAUGGGUCAGUCGAUCCUAAGAAAACGGCGAAAGCUUGUUCGAAUUUGCGACAUGAAUUGUAAGACUGUGUGAAUUGUGUGUGUGUGCAGUUGUCGUAUGUUUUCGAAAGGGAAUCCGGUUGAUAUUCCGGAACCGAGUAACGGAGACAAAGAGUAGCGCUUUAAUCUCUCUGUGGGGUUGGCGUUCAACUCAAUCGCGCGGUAACGCAAGCGAACUCGGAAAAUGACCGUCGUGAGUUUCGAAAAGAGUUUUCUUUUCUUUUUAAGGGACGCAUUCCCUGGAACCGGGUUGUCCGGAGAUAGGGAUUCUGGUAUCCAUAAAACGCCGACUUUUUCACGGUGUUCGGAGCGCUCUCGUCGGUACGUGAAAAUCCGAGCGACGCCUGGUAAAUCUCGUACUUGGUCGUACUGAUAUCCGCAGCAGGUCUCCAAGGUGAAUAGCCUCUGGCCGAUAGAAUAAUGUAGGUAAGGGAAGUCGGCAAAACGGAUCCGUAACUUCGGAACAAGGAUUGGCUCUAAGGGCUGGGCCGAUCGGGCUGAGGUUUCAAGCGUGCAGUGUAUGCUUGGCUGAGUUGUGUUGAGGACUUGUUCACUUGCCGCCGUUUGUUCGGUUGGUCUAGUGUAUUCGAGUCUGAAGCAGAGCUGGCCGACAGACCGGCACGUGCAGAACCUGAGCUGCGCGGCUGUCCGUUUACGUGUACAGACCGUUUCGGUCGGCAUUCAACAGCCAACUUAGAACUGGCACGGACACAAGGAAUCUGACUGUAUAAUUAAAACAAAGCAUUGCGAUGGCCGAUGAUCGGUGAUGACGCAAUGUGAUUUCUGCCCAGUGCUCUGAAUGUCAAAGUGAAGAAAUUCAAUCAAGCGCGGGUAAACGGCGGGAGUAACUAUGACUCUCUUAAGGUAGCCAAAUGCCUCGUCAUCUAAUUAGUGACGCGUAUGAAUGGAUCAACAAGAUUCCUUCUGUCCCUAUCUACUAUCUAGCGAAACCACAGCCAAGGGAACGGGCUUGGCAAAAUCAGCGGGGAAAGAAGACCCUGUUGAGCUUGACUCUAGUCUGACUCUGUGAAGAGACAUGAAAGGUGUAGCAUAGGUGGGAGAUUGUCAAAUUGCCAUCGUUCGCGCGGUGGUCCGGUGAUCGCCAAUGAAAUACCACUACUUUGAUCGUUUCUUUACUUAUUCGGUAAAGCGAAAAAAUUGUGGCCAAUUUGGCGGUUUAUGUCGCUGUUGGUCAUUGUUUUCAUGUUAGAUUGAAGCUUUGUUUACAGCCGUCGCUUUGUGUCGCCAUUUGACGCAUUGUUGUACUGGGUUAUCCCGGUGUGUGGUGUAGUCAGUAUGGAUGAUCGGCGAUAGGUUUGAAGUGAUUCGCUCCGGAAACAGUGUCAGACGGGGAGUUUGACUGGGGCGGUACAUCUGUUAAACGAUAACGCAGGUGUCCUAAGGUAAGCUCAGCGAGGACAGAAACCUCGCUUAGAGUAAACGGGCACAAGCUUACUUGAUUUUGAUUUCCAGUACGAAUAGAAACCGCGAAAGCGUGGCCUAUCGAUCCUUUUGAUUGUGUAGAUUUCAUGCAAGAGGUGUCAGAAAAGUUACCACAGGGAUAACUGGCUUGUGGCAGCCAAGCGUCCAUAGCGACGUUGCUUUUUGAUCCUUCGAUGUCGGCUCUUCCUAUCAUUGCGAAGCAGAAUUCGCCAAGCGUUGGAUUGUUCACCCACCAAUAGGGAACGUGAGCUGGGUUUAGACCGUCGUGAGACAGGUUAGUUUUACCCUACUGAUGACAAGUCGUUGCGAUAGUAAUCCUGCUCAGUACGAGAGGAACCGCGGGAUCAGACAUUUGGUUCAUGCGCUCGGCUGAAAGGCCGGUGGCGCGAAGCUAGCAUCUGCAAGAUUAUGACUGAACGCCUCUAAGUCAGAAUCUUUUCUAGUCAUUGGCAACGAUAAGUUGCGUCCAGACUCGAUGCGAGGAAACGAUUAGGCUUUGCUAUACGGCGAAGCCAUUAUCAGACCACGGUAGCAGGCAGUAUGGGAUUGUUACGAAAAAGCAAUUUUUUGAAGUCAGUUGAAUUCAAUCAAACUGCUAACAAUUCCACUGCGAAUG